CGGAGGGAGUAGCAACACAACAAGUUCUGGAACACGCUCUCGUUCUCGCCAGUCAAGAGAAGAGAGACAAAGAUAGACCCGCCAGCUCCGUCUCAUCUUCAACCUCGAAACAGAGUAAAGUUUCAAGCUUGUCUCCAGCAUUUGGGCUUGCUGGAAAUUUUCUCGACGCCGAGAAAAUCAAGAAAGGUGGUAACGGGCCGGGGCGGCGGCGGCGGCGGCGGCUCCGGGAAAAAAUCAGGUGGGAACAGGCCGGUGAACGGGUCGUCAGGUGGGAAGAGGAGGGUCCCCCCAUCGCCACACGAGCUGCAUUACACAGCGAACAGGGCCCAGAGUGAAGAGAUGAGGAAGAAGACAUUCUUGCCUUACAGCCAAGGCCUGCUUGGUUGCUUUGGGGGUUUAGCUCAAAGGGUUAUGGUGCCAUGAAUGGAUUUGCUAGAGCUCCGAACCCUGUUUCUUCCGGCGAAGAAGAUGUGCCUCAGAUUAUUAUUUGGGGUUUAUGUUCUAUAUAAUGAUGAUUUGUGUACCCAGUUUACAUUGCAUUAACUGGUGAAUCAGGGUAAAAUUCCUCUCUUUACUUC